GUGCAGCCAACUAAGCUGACUGUGCUUUCCAUCCCAUGGACCGGGUGUGCAACGCUGCAGACAGCAGGCAGCUUCCUUGGUAGUGUGAUAGCCUGUGGCUUGCAUGUGCUGCAAUAAGGGACCUGGGAGACAGGU